CCUUUCUAACUCCUCUUCCUCUGCCUAUCUCUUCCAUGCUGUCAUUUCCAAAGCUCUUCCUCUACUCUUUUCUCACUCUAGCCUAUUGUACCUAUCCAGUGGGUUUGCCUAUCACCCACAGAUUAAUGCUUCCUUCACUGACAUUUGUGAUCACUGUAGCUGUUCAGCAUCUUCCUUUACUGCAUUGGUACAUUUCCCAUGGUCAUCCCUCCUGGAUUCGGAAAGGGCCAGAUACUAGUUUUACCUAGCCCCACUAACAGCUGGGGUGCUAGCCCAUGACCCAGACUUCUCCAGAUUUACCCGCCUGAGGCAGGGCCUCCUCAAGCUGAUGCCACAAGGAAGCAAAGAAGUUGAAGAAUCUGUCCUGGGGGACCACAGCAGUACUGUAGCAGGACUCCCAAGUUCUUCAGCUUUGGGACUCGGACUGGUUUCCUUGCUCCUCAGCUUGCAGACAACCUAUUGGACCUUGUGAUCGGAGAUGAGAGAACUCAACAAGGCGUGGCAGGCAAUGCCUUUCCGCAGGACAAGGAAAUUCAGACCAGACGGUGAGGAAAAGAACCUGCUCAGUUAAUGGUAUGGCUGCACAACACACAAACUGAACUAAAAUUACAGAAGCUUCUCGAAGUUGUACGCAUAUAGUACCAAAAAAGAGGAAACUGAAGAGAGACAAAUGCAAGGUGGUCCUGAGGCAGGUCGCAGUAAAAGGACGAGGUUAGACCCAAAUGUUGCAGAAACAGCCUUCACCUCAGAGUCAGGGGCCCAAGAUGACACUCCAGGCUCAGCCACACGCUGCCAGGUAAAACGUGUUGGGUUCCCUUCCUGGGCUGCGUUUCCUCAAACACGAAAGACCCCCAAAUUCUGAUCCUUUCACUGGCAACAAGUUAUAAAACUAUGAAGAAAAGGAAGUAAACAUUAAAUCAGGGCAGGGGUGGGGUCACAUACACUUGCCUGAUUUGGAUCAAUGCACUAUAAAAAAGACGAGAAGAAACUCAGGAUUUGGGCCAGUGGCUCAUGCCUGUAAUCCUAGCACACUGAGAGGCCAAGGCAAGCGGAUCACUUGAGCCCAGGAGUUCAA
rnacentral:lncRNA from 1 species